rnacentral:sRNA from 1 species
AAAAACCCUUUUCCAAACCAAUUCCAAUCAACUGGUAACCCAUAAAUUAAGUGAGGAUCUAUAAAUUAAAACACAAACCCAAACAUCAAUCUAUUUACUGUUGAAGUUUCAAAACGAAAAAACUUUGAAAUUGCUACAACAGAGAAGUUAAUCGGCAUUUGAAAUCUUCUUUGAAGGUUUUUGAAA